CAAGGGUGAUACAUUUUAGCUUGCUUUGGGCUCACUAAAAUCAUUUUUCUUCUCCUUCGACAAUUGUCAUACUAUCUUUUACACUCCCAAGAUUAAAUUGAAGAAUAUGGCAAGGUAAUAUCCUUCUGCUCGUUAUAGAAUGUACGCACAAGAUUGAAUCACAUUGCAAAAUUCUUCUAUCCUGCAUUUAUGCACUUGAGUUUUCUUACUGCUAGUCUAAAAUAUGGUAAUUCAGUGUCCCUAUCCAGUACACUUGACCAAAUAAUAUCAAUGUUGAUCUCAUGUUGUCUUUUAACAUGGCUGUAUUGUAUACUUCCUGAUGAAGACCGUUCCUUCUGGUGGUCAUAUUUCAACCCCUUUGUGUAGGACAACGUAGAAUUUGUGUAUGUCCACAAGAACUAAAUGUGUAAUAACAAUGAAAUGGUGAUGAUCUUGUUUAUUUUUAAAUUUAGGGAUCAACUUACAAUGCGAGCAAUAAAUUAGAGACUAGAACUAUUUUUCAUCGGAGCAGUAUUUGAAACCUAUAAAUUUCAUGGGUUAUAAUCCUUGCGUGAUAAUCCUAAAUCAUCGAGCACACUUAUCAUAUUAAAGGUUUUAAAGCUGUGCUGGAGAAGCAAUUGCUUGAAGAAUGGUAAACUUUUAUUCUAGAAAUGUUGUAUGUUUCAAAUUUAACAUUUUUCGGUAAACAAAAGGGAUUAUUAUUAUUAUUAUUAUUUAAGCUUGU
rnacentral:lncRNA from 1 species